rnacentral:rRNA from 1 species
AAUCAACGCUAGCGGCGUGCCUCAGACAUGCAAGUCGAACGAUUAAAGCUCUCUUCGGAGAGUGUAUAGAGUGGCGCACGGGUGAGUAACACGUAAGUAAUCUACCUUCGAGUGGGGAAUAACAGUCGGAAACGACUGCUAAUACCGCAUAAUGCAGCGGCAUCGCAAGAUGACAGUUGUUAAAGGAGUAAUUCGCUUGAAGAGGAGCUUGCGGCAGAUUAGCUUGUUGGUAAGGUAACGGCUUACCAAGGCUACGAUCUGUAACCGGUCUAAGAGGACGGUCGGUCACACUGACACUGAAUAACGGGUCAGACUCCUACGGGAGGCAGCAGUCGGGAAUUUUGGGCAAUGGGCGAAAGCCUGACCCAGCAACGCCGCGUGAAGGAUGAAGUAUUUCGGUAUGUAAACUUCGAAAGAAUAGGAAGAAUCAAUGACGGUACUAUUUAUAAGGUCCGGCUAACUACGUGCCAGCAGCCGCGGUAAC